rnacentral:misc_RNA from 1 species
UCCCUUUAUUUUCUUCUUCUUCUCCGCAGAUCUUAUUUCUUCUUCUUCUUUCUUUCUCUCUUUCCCAGUUCUUUCUACUAUUCUUCUUCUUUCCUCAAAUUGCAUAUGCUUGCUCAUAUUAUCGAUGUUUUACUCGCUUCUCUUUGCUUCUUCAAUGUCAUUUGUUGAUUCUCACAGCUUUUUGAUCCAUUAAAGUAUUUAUUUAUUUAUUUUUCAAUGAUUGAUCACCACAGAAAUGAUCUUAAGUUAAUCACUAUUGUUUCUUAUUUUUGUUUUACAGGUGGGAAGUCUUCAGGCAGCA